GACGAAGGAUGCAAGCGUUAUCCGGAUUCAUUGGGUUUAAAGGGUGCGUAGGCGGCCCGGUAAGCCAGUGGUGAAAGCCUGUUGCUUAACAACAGAACUGCCAUUGAUACUGCUGGGCUUGAGUACAGAUGCUGUGGGCGGAAUAUGACAUGUAGUGGUGAAAUACAUAGAGAUGUCAUAGAACACCGAUUGCGAAGGCAGCUCACAAAACUGUAACUGACGCUGAGGCACGAAAGUGCGGGGAUCAAACAGG
rnacentral:rRNA from 1 species